AAAGAGAUCACAUUAGUUUCUUGAAACUUAAUAGAGAAGAAAGGGGGGAGACACAUCUCAUUUAGGGUUCCUGUGGACUUACGUAGCAAGGGGGAAAACAGAGAAGGGUUGGAUUCAGUGCUCAACAAGACAAUCAAGGUGACCGUGAAGGUUAGUGCGUAAAGGGAUUUCUAUGCUUAAAAGCUUACUAAGGUUGUUGAUCGAGGUUAAGACAAGGGAGGUCAUUUUUUGGGAUUAAAGGCUCUAGGAUAUUAGUCUAGUGCCUUGUGUUAGAUGGGGACUCCUAAUCUUUUUGUGGAGAUCAACCUCCAUAGUGGACCUUGGAUUCCUUGUUAUAGAUUUUAGACCAUGUCUCUACGCUUAAAUGUAUAUAUUAUACUUCCUAUUAAGCAAUCUUUGGGAGAAGAAACUUUAAGAUCAAGCAGUUGUUUAGGUUAUAUUAUGGAUGAUAUUUUGUUUAGCAGGCUUCGUAUUAUAGCGA